rnacentral:rRNA from 1 species
UAGUGGCGAACGGGUGAGUAACACGUGGGCAAUCUGCCCUUCACUCUGGGACAAGCCCUGGAAACGGGGUCUAAUACCGGAUAACACUCUGUCCCGCAUGGGACGGGGUUGAAAGCUCCGGCGGUGAAGGAUGAGCCCGCGGCCUAUCAGCUUGUUGGUGGGGUGAUGGCCUACCAAGGCGACGACGGGUAGCCGGCCUGAGAGGGCGACCGGCCACACUGGGACUGAGACACGGCCCAGACUCCUACGGGAGGCAGCAGUGGGGAAUAUUGCACAAUGGGCGAAAGCCUGAUGCAGCGACGCCGCGUGAGGGAUGACGGCCUUCGGGUUGUAAACCUCUUUCAGCAGGGAAGAAGCGAGAGUGACGGUACCUGCAGAAGAAGCGCCGGCUAACUACGUGCCAGCAGCCGCGGUAAUACGUAGGGCGCAAGCGUUGUCCGGAUUUAUUGGGCGUAAAGAGCUCGUAGGCGGCUUGUUGCNGUCGGUUGUGAAAGCCCGGGGCUUAACCCCGGGUCUGCAGUCGAUACGGGCAGGCUAGAGUGUGGUAGGGGNAGAUCGGAAUUCCU